rnacentral:miRNA from 1 species
UGUCCAGUAGCACCUUAGAGACCAACUAAGUUUGUUCCUGGUAUAAGCUUCCGUGUGCAUGCACACUUCUUCAGAUACACGAAAGCUUAUACCAAGAACAAACUUUAGUUGGUCUCUAAGGUGCUACUGGACA